CUGGCACAGGGCAAACUGUAGAUGGCUGCUUUUAUUAGUAAUAGAUCCUGUGACUGUAGGCUUCCCAUGAAAGCAUACCAACUCACUUCAGAUAGUUGGAAGCAAGGAAUAGAAUAGAUGGUCACUUUGGACUAUUUAAUCAUUUUAGGGAGAUUUGGAAAUUGUCAUUCUUAGAUGUCAGUUUUAAUUACUACCUCAGUUUGAUGCUGGAACAUAGUGCCCUUGCUUGGUGACAUUAAAAGGGAUCCACAUGAAACAUUGCUACUUCUAUUUUUUUUUUUUUUUUUUCUGUCCUGAUUGCUUUCUCUCCUGAACUCUGGUUUCAAACAUCACAUCAGCAUUUUCUCUGCUGACAGCAUUGCAAGUUCAGGGAUACUGCUCCUUGGGGCAUCACUGACUGCUUCUGGUAAACUGUGCUCAGUGUGUUUGCUUUAGUUCUGCAAAGAAGCCAGGAAGGAAUUGGGUUUGAGGUCCUGGAGAGCUUCACAGACAGAGGACAGUUGACGUGGCUCUUUUUCUCUUUACUAUAUCAUAAAUCUUGGCAAGAAUGCUCAAUGGAAAGGAACAGUCCAUGGAAGGAACCUUGGCUCAGAGACCCUAGGGAAGAUGAAACCAGCUGACAGAAGCCUGUCCUGCAUCUCCAGGAAAAUUUAGCUCACUCUUCUAAAGCUUGAAGAGGUUAGAAGAAAAUACUUUGUAAGUUAAGAGAACCCUUUAUUUUUGGGGUAAAUUUUCUCUAUAAAAACAAGACAUUUUAAAAGCUGGAAGGGUCAGAGUAAGAAAAACUACAGUGAUCCCUAUAUCUAGACAGUCACAAAGAAUCUAUGUACUUAAUUAGCCGGUGUGCUGGGGCUAGAGCAAGGUAGCUUAGAAAGGCAAUCCCUGAAGGUCAAAUUUGGCCAGGGGUGAUAUUGAAUUAUAGCCACUGUUUGCUAUUUUACUGGGAAUCAGGAAAACUAAAAUUAUGGCUCUUCUUUUAUUAGGGGCUGAAUGCUUAUGUCCCUUCAAAUUCAUCUGUUG
rnacentral:lncRNA from 1 species